GUGCAAGAAUGUGUAAAUGUCUGUCAUUGAGUGUGUGUGUCUGUCUGGAAGAACAGACAGAGCUCCCUCGCUGAUGCCAGCUUCCUCUCCACCCCGGCCAGGCACAUUUUAGCAGAGUGGGUACCUGCAAUGUCAAACUCGCGGCUCGCCAGGCUGUAAAGAGAUUCAUUGUGGGCCGCAUGCGGCCCGUGGUCCGCGAGUUUGACAUGCUUGCUGUAGGUCUUCCUCAUUCUGCUAAAAC